CUUUUUAUUUGAAAUGUAACAGAAUUUCAACAUUGUGAUGGCACUCCCCUCCUAGGCUAGGAUGACAGUGCAGGACCCAAGUCAGAAGGACCUUUCUCUCUGUGAGGGGAAGGGGCAGCAGAAACAAGCAUGGGAGGCUGGUGAUCAGGCCGAAACCAGGGCUGAGACCCCAGAUCUGUUUACUGUGGGAAAGAAGCAGAGAAAAUUAUUAACAGAAGUGGAAUUCUGGCCCAUGGGUUUUCAUUUCUCCUUUCGAAGGGAGCACACCCACGCCGUAAGAGGGUCUAAGCCUGAAAGGGGAGUGGGAGCCAGCGGCGGCACCUGAGCUACCAAGGGAGGCCACCAGGGGUCAGCAGCGUGCCGCCCGCCGAAGGAGCCGCAGGUGCGGCAGCAGCCACCAGCAUCGCGUGCUUCUUCCUCGGGCCACUUCCCUCCAAAGGGUGGCUCAGGGGAGCUGGGCGGAGGGGCCUCUGGACAAAGACUCUAGGUGAGGCCUCUGAAGGAUUGCCCCCUGCAAUGCAGAGAGAGAUCCAGCGCCACAUGAGGGACCCAGCGCCAAGUGAGGGACACAGCGCCACGUGAGGCAUGCCUCUCAGACACGCAUCGCUGGAAUCACAAACCCCGAAUGAGGGACAGUCUCCAAGAUAACUGUGUUGUUCAGAGACGGUGAGGUCACAAAAGCCAAGAUGGAAGAACAGUCCCACCCUGAACUGUGACAUGGGACUCUGCAUUGGGUUCAGGCCAGAGAAGGAAAACGCUUGGAAGGGCCAGGGCCAGAAGGUGGUAUCUCAUCUGAGUUGAUUUCCUGCUCUGGAUGGUGGUGCCCUGGUUACUAGGAGAGUGGAGCUGCCUUUCUAAGAGGUACAGGCCUCACUCAGCGGGUUAAGGAUCUGGCAUUGCCAUGAGCUGUGGUGUAGGUCACAGAUGCUGCUGGGAUCUGGCAUUGCUGGGGCUGUGGUGUAGGCCAGCAGCUGCAACUCUGAUUCAACCACUAGCCUGGGAACUUCCAACUUUAGGCCUGCAGGUGUGGCCCUAAAAGAAAAAAGAUAAGAAGAGUAAAUGUUCCAUGCUUUUCCCUGAGGUUGGAAUCCAACUUCUAAAUUGUUGGGAACAAGGCUGAUUUGCAUCUCCUGCAAGAUUCCCUCCUUGUGAACUUCCAAGAGCCCCCGCCCUCCCCUGGAGCCAACUAGGACCAGGAUGCCAAGCCAAGACACCCUUCCAGGGCCAGAUGGUGGGGACAGGAUGGGGUUUUCCAGCCCAGACCAUUCACCUGACAAAGAAGGACAGAGAAUUUGACCUCAGUCUAAGACAUCAAUGAUAUGGACUCCAGGAGUUCAAAUCAUAAAACCUCAACUAACACACAAGUUUUCCCAAAAGACGCUAUAUCAGGACACCCUCUGGGAAGUCACAGGAUGGACGAGUGAAGCUGGUUCUACCUGCUCUGCCCGGCAGAAACGUCACUCAGGCCCGGGGACCCACAGCUGUUCCCUCCCUGCGCGUGGGGGUCUGGUUCUGCCGGUGUGUCUGGUUCUCUGCUUGGGCUGGGCCCAUUGACCCAGCACAAAGGCAGCACAGUUGGUUGGUUUUGCCCAAUCAGAGACCGUAUCCCUCUCGAGAGACCCCUGUGGACCUGGCCACGUGUUACACUUUUCACCACUUCCUGAGCGGAAGUCAGCUGUGUGGGGACUGCCCCCUGCUGGGGUUGGUUAAGGCCACGAGCCAAAGGCUCUUCAGGGUCACCUGGUUCCCCCAGUGGCCAGAGCUGCCUGAGGGGCACCUGAGUCCACCUGAGGCUACGCCUUGGUUCUUUUCCACACCCUGUGGUCACAGGAGGCUGGGACUGCCCCUCGCCACCUUCUCCCAAAGACCAGGCCAGGACAGAUCUGGGGACCCCACUCGCUCCAACACAGCACGGACAGGGUGCGUCCUUCAUUCGACGCCUGUGUGUUGGGACUGACUGGGUCUGGGGUUCUGAGUGCCUGUCCUCCGUCCUCCAGGAGCUUGCCACAGAAACAGGUGUGUAAUGCCAGGUGGUUCUGGGGUCAGGACAGCAAGGAGCCAGUUUCCCCAGGGAGAAACCCAAGACAAGGGCAGGAAAGGAAGCCUGAGGUUGAGGGUGAUGGCGGGAAUCAGACAGAAGUGGGAGGAGAACAUUCUAGGCAGAGAGAAUGAGAGGCGGGGCAGAGCUUGGGCACUAGAGCCUGGGGCAUGGUGACUAGGGGCGCCCAGGGAGGGACCAGGUUAAAGGGGAUGCCAUGUGCCCUGUGGAGACAUGCAGGUUUUUCUAGGUGCUGAGCUGUAAUAAUGGAGCGUCCUGGUUCAAACUGAUUUGGAACAGUCAUUGCUCUGGGAAGAAUGAGCUAGAGAGGGUGAAGAGAAGGAAGCCAUCGAUUAGGCACUGUCGUAACUCAGGACAGAGGGACAGCGGUUGGGACUCAGCCAGCAGUGGGGGAGUAGAGGGCAGACGGAGCCAGGACAGCAGCAGGAAUUCCACGGACAACUUCCACUCUGAGCCUCUGUGCAGAGCUGCCAUUUACCCAGCCAGGAAAAGCCCAGGAGAAGCUCUGAGGUUCCCGUGAGCCACCCGAGUCAAUGCAAAGUUUGGGAAACCUGGACAAAUACAUAGUCUUAUUUAUUUAUUUGGUUUUUCAGGGCCAUACCUGCAGAAAUACACGGUUUUAAAAGGGAAUGAAUGGGCGUUCCCAUUGUGGCUCAGGGGGUUAAGAACCUGACUAAUAGCCAUGAGGAUGUGGGUUUGAUCCGUGGCCUUGCUCAAUGGGUUAAAGAUCCACUGUUGCUGUAGCUGUGGUGUAGGCUGACAGCUGCAGCUCCAAUUUGACCACUAGCCUGGGAACUUCCAUAUGCUGCGGGUGUGGCCCUAAAAAAAUAAAAUAAAAUAAAAGUGUAGGAGUGGAUGAGACACCCCAGGAGAGGAGGCGAGAAGGCAGGAAGUGCAGGGCUGAGCUGAGGGCAGGCAGAGAAGAGUCUCUGGGAGUGGACCGGAGCCAGGGCAGGAGUCCCAAGGGCCCUUGCACUGAGGCCGAGAGAAGGAUGU